rnacentral:pre_miRNA from 11 species
UGGCCGUGUAGACACUAGGAUAGUUAUUUUGAAAUAACAGCUGUUAUUUCAAAAUAACUAUCCUAGUGUCUACACGGCCA